UACGUAGGCAGCGAGCGUUGUUCGGAAUUACUGGGCGUAAAGAGUGUGUAGGCGGUGUUCCCAGUCUGUUGUGAAAUCUCCCGGCUUAACUGGGAGGGUGCAGCGGAAACUAGAAUGCUAGAGGGUGGGAGAGGUAAGCGGAAUUCCUGGUGUAGCGGUGAAAUGCGUAGAUAUCAGGAGGAACACCUGUGGUGUAGACAGCUUACUGGACCACUUCUGACGCUGAGGCACGAAAGCGUGGGUAGCAAACAGG
rnacentral:rRNA from 1 species